rnacentral:rRNA from 1 species
GAUGAACGCUAGCUACAGGCUUAACACAUGCAAGUCGAGGGGCAGCAUGAACUUAGCUUGCUAAGUUUGAUGGCGACCGGCGCACGGGUGAAGUAACACGUAUCCAACCUUCCGUUUACUCAGGGAUAGCCUUUCGAAAAGAAAGAUUAAUACCUGAUAGUAUGGUGAGAUUGCAUGAUAACACAUUAAAGAUUUAUUGGUAAACGAUGGGGAUGCGUUCCAUUAGGUAGUAGGCGGGGUAACGGCCCACCUAGCCGACGAUGGAUAGGGGUUCUGAGAGGAAGGUCCCCCACAUUGGAACUGAGACACGGUCCAAACUCCUACGGGAGGCAGCAGUGAGGAAUAUUGGUCAAUGGCCGAGAGGCUGAACCAGCCAAGUCGCGUGAGGGAUGAAGGUUCUAUGGAUCGUAAACCUCUUUUAUAAGGGAAUAAAGUGCGGGACGUGUCCCGUUUUGUAUGUACCUUAUGAAUAAGGAUCGGCUAACUCCGUG